GUCACAGGGUCACCAGAGGCAAGCAGGGCUGGCCUGUGCAAAUUUGCACCCCAGAAGGCUAGUGGGAAGCCUAUAGCCCUCCUCCCAGCCUCUGUUCAGCUGUGGGCAUUUAGCUGUGGGCAGUGUUUGUGUGUGGAGGAGCUCUGCUUUCAUGACAGAUCCACUUCUGGUGCUCUGUCUCCAGCAUCAUCUUCAUCAAUAACAACAACAGAAUGGCCACUAGAAUGCCUUAUGUUGGGAGCACAACAGUGGACAUAGCUGUGCCUUAGCUCUUCAAUCCAGUGGCAGGCUCAAGGAAACAAACAAGGAGCUCUUCUUUGAACAAGGCCUGGGUCAUGCCUCAGUUAGUACCCGUGUAUAUGAAGUUCCUUUGUAAUGAAGUCAGUGCAAAUAAAAAGAGGGGUUCGAGAAUCACACGGAAACACCAUUGAUGGGAACCAUAUGUCUAAGUGGCCACAUUCCAGUCAGCAGGAUGCGUGCGCAGAUGGGCUGCUCUAAAUUCCUCUGCUCCCAGCUCCCCUUUGGUCCACAGAGUCCUUCCGGCAGAAAGGACUCACCUUUAUUGCCACUUCCCUCAGGGACUGUGGAUGCUGCUCUGGAACUGGUGAUAUAUAUUUAAUUAAUGAGAAAGAUAGGAAGAGAGAG